rnacentral:lncRNA from 1 species
UUCCUUUGCAGGCUCAGCGGCGGUGCCUUCCAGCCUUACUCACAGGAGAAAGACUCCCUCCACAGCUGGUCCCAACCCAAAACGAGGCAGACCAUGGAGGCCAUGAUGUCAUCAUCCCAGGACCACAAUCAGUCACGUGUAGCACAGGAGGCCCUGCUUACACCAGUAUGUGAUACAGGCCAUUCAGAGGUCCUGCGGGGGCGUCUGCUGGGCACUCAGCCCUUUGAUAAAGGGCUGGGCUUCUCCCAUCAGGAGGGGGAAUUACGUGCAUGGGACCAGGACAGACGGAAGGCACAGGUGUGUCCCCUGGGCCUGUCCGGUCUGAGCAAAGAGCAUGUUUUUGGGCACAGUCUUGACUUCAAUUAUUCGGUAAUGAUAAUUAAUCCAACAAUUAUUCCCUCCUUGCAGAAGGAUGAUCCAAUAGAUCUCACCAGUGAUCAUCUACAUGAAGAGCAGUUUACUGAUGAGCAUGGGAAUGUUGUGACCAAGUUGGGCAUGGAUGUGAAAAGGGAUGUCCAGACUGUGAAGCACUCCAGCCUGCGGCGAGUAAAGCACUGAAAUAAACACAAACUGUCCUGAAGGGUUGAACAUCCACUGCCAAACCAUCCUUCACCUACGCACGACUGGGAGACAGGAUGAGACAUGGAGCGAUGAGGGAAAAAAACAAAACAUGCAGCGAAAGAACAACACAUCGCGCCCAAAUCCUACAGUCAAGCAACCAUGGAGCACCACCGGAAAACAACAAGGAGAAGGAGUUCUCUUCCUGUAGUUUUGUAACAUUUUUAACAGAAGAAAAAAAUAAACAGGGCAUGAACUUUUUAUACAAAAUGUGAAAAAAAGUGCUUCCUGUCAACUGUAAAUGCAUGACUGACUGCUGCUGCAUGACCUAUGAGCUGUCAUUAUCUAAACAACUGAAGGGGUACAAGGUAAAGGGCCGUUCCAGGACUGGCAGCGGGGAGGGCAAAACCUUUGAACCUUUGAUCUUGAAAACGAGAGACUCUUGAAACAAAGGGUCUUGGGAACACAACAGCCCAAAAAAAGCAACAGUUCUUUAUUUUGUCAAACUGAUUGUCAUUACACAGCAGCAUA